rnacentral:rRNA from 1 species
UACGGAGGGUGCAAGCGUUAUCCGGAUUCACUGGGUUUAAAGGGAGCGUAGGUGGGUUGGUAAGUCAGUGGUGAAAUCCCCGAGCUUAACUUGGGAACUGCCAUUGAUACUAUCAGUCUUGAAUAUUGUGGAGGUUAGCGGAAUAUGUCAUGUAGCGGUGAAAUGCUUAGAUAUGACAUAGGACACCAAUUGCGAAGGCAGCUGGCUACACAUAUAUUGACACUGAGGCUCGAAAGCGUGGGGAGCGAACGGG